UGAAUGCAGAAUUCAGUGAAUCAUCGAAUCUUUGAACGCACAUUGCGCCCUUUGGCAUUCCUUAGGGCAUGCCUGUUCGAGCGUCACU
rnacentral:rRNA from 1 species